rnacentral:sRNA from 1 species
GGUCUGGCUGUCACUCACAGGUACCGGGGCAGCUACUGGAGGACUGUGCGGGCCUGCCUGGGCUGCCCCCUCCGCCGUGGGGCCCUGUUGCUGCUAUCCAGCUAUUUCUACUACUCCCUCCCAAAUGCGGUCAGCGUGCCCUUCACUUGGAUGCUUGCCCUCCUGGGCCUCUCGCAGGCACUGAACAUCCUCCUGGGCCUCAAGGGACUGGCCCCAGCUGAGAUCUCUGCAGUCUGUGAAAAAGGGAAUUUCAACGUGGCCCAUGGGCUGGCAUGGUCAUAUUACAUCGGAUAUCUGCGGCUGAUCCUGCCAGGGAUCCAGGCCCGGAUUCGAACUUACAAUCAGCAUUACAACAACCUGCUAUGGGGUGCAGUGAGCCAGCGGCUGUAUAUUCUCCUCCCAUUGGACUGUGGGGUGCCUGAUAACCUGAGUAUGGCUGAUCCCAACAUUCGCUUCCUGGAUAAACUGCCCCAGCAGACCGCUGACCGUGCUGGCAUCAAGGAUCGGGUUUACAGCAACAGCAUCUAUGAACUUCUGGAGAACGGGCAGCGGAACCUGCAGAUGACAGCAGCUUCUCGCUGUCCCAGGAGGUUCUCCGGCACCUGCGGCAGGAGGAAAAGGAAGAGGUUACUGUGGGCAGCUUGAAGACCUCAGCGGUGCCCAGUACCUCCAUGAUGUCCCAAGAGCCUGAGCUCCUCAUCAGCGGAAUGGAAAAGCCCCUCCCUCUCCACACGGAUUUCUCCUGAGACCCAGGGUCACCAGGCCAGAGCCUCCAGUGGUCUCCAAGCCUCUGGACUGGGGGCUUUCUUCAGUGGCUGAAUGUCCAGCAGAGCUAUUUCCUUCCACAGGGGGCCUUGCAGGGAAGGGUCCAGGACUUGACAUCUUAAGAUGAGUCCUGUCCCCUUGGGCCAGUCGUUUCCCCUCUCUGAGCCUCAGUGUCUUCAACCUGUGAAAUGGGAUCAUAAUCACUGCCUUACCUCC